UCCCUUCAUGCACCUGUCUGUUUUUGUCCCCCCAAAUAGCCCAGAUUACACAUGUUAUUUCCUUGCACUUAUCCUUAGAAUGCACAAAGAACAAAUAGUCCAUCCACUAUCAGUAUCUCUCAUUCGGCUGUCCUCCCAAAUAGCCCAGAUUGCACAUGUUAUUUCUUUGCACUUAUCCUUAGAAUGCACAAGGAACAACCAAACCAUCCAUUGUUUGUAUCUCUCAUUAGACUAAUCUUUAGGCCAUUGGAUUUUUAACUUACUCCAUAAAUAGAUAAUAUUUUGUAAAUAAAAGAAGUUAGAUUCAUAAUUAAGUAAUGAUACAAUGUUAUAAAAAGUAUUUUUAUACAAAGUAAAAAAAUAAAUCAUAAUGAUUUGUUUGUUUAUGUCCUCUUUUAUUUCAUCAAAAGAAACAAAAUCAUAAAAUAAAACAGUUUAGUGAAUUGGAGAAGUUAUUUCUUUUUUUGGUAAUGAUUUGUUUGUUUAUGUGCUCUUUUAUUUCAUCAAAAGAAACAAAAUCAUAAAAUAAAACAAUUUAGUGAAUUGGAGAAGUUAUUUCUUUUUUUCUUUUUUGGUGAAAAGAAACAAAUUACAAAAAACUAAUUAAGUUAAUUUCUCUAAGAGAGAAUCUUCAAACAGUCUAAGGCCUCAUCUCUUAUCGCGAACCAUCUUGACAAGUUCAUUUGUGAUUUUAUUCUCCUUGCAAAGAUAUAUUGAAUUUUCCAUUGUCUUACUAAAUCCAAUAGCUAGUGAAUUCUCUUGAUAAAAUACGAAUUAGAAUCCCCAACGAUACAUCUUGAAUUGCAUUAACGGGUUCAAGACUAUUAGUCUGAAUUAGAACACUACCAUAAUCCCGUUGCAGAGUAAGCUUCAAAACAUCUAGGAUACCCUAGAGUUCGGCGUCAACAACCAUGCACAUGCCUAAAUAUCUACUAAAAUAGAAGAUAUAGUCCUCAUUGUGGUUACAUACAAAUCCUCGGGCAACAACAAAACUGUCCUCAUUUCUAACCAAACCAUCUGUAGUCAGGUGUACGUAAUUCUUUGUUGGAUCCGGUCCUACAACGAGACUUUGUGAACCAUACUUAAAAGAUUUGGAAACAAAAGUGAAUUAGUUUUCCCAACUAAUAGAAACCAUGAUGAUUUCAUUAAUAUUCCAUAAGGAACCCUGGAAAAUGUAGAGGUUACGGUUUUUCUAAAUGCGCUAAGAAAUCAUCCCAAAAAGGCAUGGCGAAUCAACUCAUUUCAGACAAAAAAAAACCAUUAAUUAAGAAGGUUCCUUGGUAUCCAUUCAUAAAGAGGUUUAAAGUAAAAAAUAGAUAUCUUAUUUGUAGGGAUGAGCUUAUUCCAAAUAUCUCUAGCCACAAGGCAAUCCCUAAGAACAUGUAAUACAUUCUUGAUACCAAAUCCACAUAUUACACAUGCACUGUCAUUUCCUAUUCCUCUUAUUACCUUUUUCAUGUUUGUUAGUAAGUGUUCUUUAAAAGCAAGCCAUAGAAAGUAUCUAACUCAUUGAGGUCCUUGGGACUUCCACAGUAACUACCAAAUGGGUUCUUUUGAAUUCCAAAAGCUUGUUGAAGCUCUUGGAACUUUUGAAUUCCAAAUGGGAGCUUUUGAAUUCCAAGCUCUUGGAAAUUUUGAGGGAAAAGGAACCUAUCUAAGUGCCCCCCAAACGAUCCUAUCAGGUCUAAAUAAAAAAUAAAGAGGUGGGAUUCCAAUAAUUGUAUUGAUGAUGUCUUCAUUAACCCAUAAUCUGAAGAAGUCUAAGUUCUAAGAGCUGUCAUCCGUAACCAUAUUACUAAUAGGACAAUUCAUGUCAAAAUUAGUGCAAGAAGAAAUCUGUUUAAACAAGAGACUGAUAUUCGAAAUCCAAGGGUCUUGCAAACAAUUUAUACAAUUCCUAUCACCUACUAACCAAAUUAAAAUUUCUCGAACAAGAGGCCAUACCUUUGUGAGGGAUCUCCAUAAAAAGGAACAUCUCCCAUUCCUUAGAGAUUUAGGUAAUCUGUUUUGAACCCCGUACUUCAAUCUGAGGACCCUAACCCAAAGGGCAUUGGAAUUGGUCAUAACAUUGAAA
rnacentral:lncRNA from 1 species